rnacentral:rRNA from 1 species
UUUAUCAAAAACAUGUCUUAUUGAUUAUUAUAAAUAAUAAGUUUAUUCUGCCCGUUGAAUUUGUUUUUUGAAAGGCUGCAGUAAUUUAACUGUACAAAGGUAGCAUAAUCAAUAGUUUUUUAAUUGAAAACUUGUAUGAAAGAAUUGAUAAAAUAUUAAUUGUCUCAAAUUUAAAUAAUUGAAAUUAAAUUAAAAGUUAAAAUUCUUUUAUAUAUUUAUUAGACGAUAAGACCCUAAGAAUUUUAUAAUUGUUUUAUUUUAUUAAUGAAAUUAAUUUAAUUGAAAACUUAUAAUUUAAUUAUUUUAUUGGGAGGGUAAUUAAAAAUUUAAACUUUAAUUUUAUUUAAACUUUGAUAAAUGAAUUUAAUGAUUAUUUUUAUAGUUGUGAGAAUUAAUUACCUUAGGGAUAACAGCGUAAUAAUUUUGGAAAGUUCAUAUUGAUAAAAUUGUUUGCGACCUCGAUGUUGAAUUAAAAUAAAAAUUAAAUGGAGAAAUUUAAGUUUUUAGUCUGUUCGACUAU